rnacentral:rRNA from 1 species
ACCGAAGAAUGUUAUCACGGGAGACACACGGCGGGUGCUAACGUCCGUCGUGAAGAGGGAAACAACCCAGACCGCCAGCUAAGGUCCCAAAGUCAUGGUUAAGUGGGAAACGAUGUGGGAAGGCAUAGACAGCCAGGAUGUUGGCUUAGAAGCAGCCAUCAUUUAAAGAAAGCGUAAUAGCUCACUGGUCGAGUCGGCCUGCGCGGAAGAUGUAACGGGGCUAAACCAUGCACCGAAGCUGCGGCAGCGACGCUUAGGCGUUGUUGGGUAGGGGAGCGUUCUGUAAGCCGUUGAAGGUGGCCUGUGAGGGCUGCUGGAGGUAUCAGAAGUGCGAAUGCUGACAUAAGUAACGAUAAUGCGGGUGAAAAACCCGCACGCCGGAAGACCAAGGGUUCCUGUCCAACGUUAAUCGGGGCAGGGUGAGUCGACCCCUAAGGCGAGGCUGAAAAGCGUAGUCGAUGGGAAACAGGUUAAUAUUCCUGUACUGGGUGUGACUGCGAAGGGGGGACGGAGAAGGCUAGGCUAGCCGGGCGACGGUUGUCCCGGUUUAAGCAUGUAGGCGGAGCGACUUGGUAAAUCCGGUUGCUUAUCAACGCUGAGGUGUGAUGACGAGCCACUACGGUGGUGAAGUAGUUGAUGCCAAGCUUCCAGGAAAAGCCUCUAAGCAUCAGGUGACAUUCAAUCGUACCCCAAACCGACACAGGUGGUCAGGUAGAGAAUACUCAGGCGCUUGAGAGAACUCGGGUGAAGGAACUAGGCAAAAUGGUGCCGUAACUUCGGGAGAAGGCACGCUGGCAUUAGGUAAAGAGACUUGCUCUCGGCGCCGAAGCCAGUCGCAGAUACCAGCUGGCUGCAACUGUUUAAUAAAAACACAGCACUGUGCAAACACGAAAGUGGACGUAUACGGUGUGACGCCUGCCCGGUGCUGGAAGGUUAAUUGAUGGGGUCAGCCGCAAGGCGAAGCUCUUGAUCGAAGCCCCAGUAAACGGCGGCCGUAACUAUAACGGUCCUAAGGUAGCGAAAUUCCUUGUCGGGUAAGUUCCGACCUGCACGAAUGGCGUAAUGAUGGCCAGGCUGUCUCCACCCGAGACUCAGUGAAAUUGAACUCGCUGUGAAGAUGCAGUGUACCCGCGGCAAGACGGAAAGACCCCGUGAACCUUUACUAUAGCUUGACACUGAAUAUUGAGCCUUGAUGUGUAGGAUAGGUGGGAGGCAUCGAAGCGUGGACGCCAGUCUGCGUGGAGCCAACCUUGAAAUACCACCCUUUAAUGUUUGAUGUUCUAACUCGGCCCCAUAAUCUGGGGUGAGGACAGUGUCUGGUGGGUAGUUUGACUGGGGCGGUCUCCUCCCAAAGAGUAACGGAGGAGCACGAAGGUUAGCUAAUCACGGUCGGACAUCGUGAGGUUAGUGCAAAGGCAUAAGCUAGCUUGACUGCGAGAGUGACGGCUCGAGCAGGUACGAAAGUAGGUCUUAGUGAUCCGGUGGUUCUGAAUGGAAGGGCCAUCGCUCAACGGAUAAAAGGUACUCCGGGGAUAACAGGCUGAUACCGCCCAAGAGUUCAUAUCGACGGCGGUGUUUGGCACCUCGAUGUCGGCUCAUCACAUCCUGGGGCUGAAGUAGGUCCCAAGGGUAUGGCUGUUCGCCAUUUAAAGUGGUACGCGAGCUGGGUUUAGAACGUCGUGAGACAGUUCGGUCCCUAUCUGCCGUGGGCGUUGGAAGAUUGAGAGGGGCUGCUCCUAGUACGAGAGGACCGGAGUGGACGCAUCACUGGUGUUCGGGUUGUCAUGCCAAUGGCAUUGCCCGGUAGCUAAAUGCGGAAAAGAUAAGCGCUGAAAGCAUCUAAGCGCGAAACUUGCCUCGAGAUGAGUCUUCCCUGGGGCUUUAAGCCCCCUGAAGGAACGUUAAAGACUAUGACGUUGAUAGGCUGGGUGUGUAAGUGCAGCGAUGCAUUGAGCUAACCAGUACUAAUGAUCCGUGAGGCUUAACCUUACAACACCGAAGGUGUUU